AUGAUGCAUGUAAUGGCAGAGUUCUAUGGAUCUGAGAUGAUGGUGUCGUUCGGACCAAAGGCAAUAACAAAUCUUUGUACAGGUUUCAGUAGAGAUGACACAAAGGAGGGUGAUCUGAUUGAGACAAUUGCGCACUUCAAGGAUAUACAAAAAACCGAUCCAGACUUCUUCUAUAAGGUGAAAUAUGAUGAAGAGGACAGAGUUGUCAACAUAUUUUGGGUGGAUGGCUUAGCUCGAAAAGCUUAUGCGGAGGCGUACCAUGAUUGCAUAUCGUUUGACACCACCUACAUGACCAACAUGUACAAUAUGCCGUUCGCGCCCUUCAUAGGAAUAAACCGACAUGGCCAAUUUUUCAUGCUGGGUUGCGCAUUUGUGAGGCAGGAGUUGGCAUCGAGCUUUGAUUGGGUCUUUGGAGCAUUCCUAGAGGCUAUGGAUGGCAAACCUCCUGACAACUUCAUCACCGAUCAGGAUGGUGCAAUGAGGCAGUCAAUACAGAGCAUCUUUCCAACCACCGUGCACCGCUGUUGUCGAUGGCACAUCAUGAAAAAGGCUCAGGAAAAGGUUGGUUGGCUGCUGUGCCGGAAUCCAGGACUCUCUGAUGAUUUCAACAAGUGUGUUGACUUCAGCUUCACUAUAGACGAGUUUGAGCAGAAUUGGGCUGGGUUAAUGAUGAAGUAUGAGGCUAUGACACACACGCACUUUGAGAAGUUGUACGAAUACAGGUCAACUUGGGUGCCGUGCUACUUCAAACACAGCUUCUUCCCCUUCCUCUAG
rnacentral:rRNA from 1 species